AUUAUUUAUGAUUUUGAAUUAUUUGAGUUCUUUACAUCUUAUAACUAUUAAUCCCUUAUUAGACAUGAUUGACAAACAUUUUAUCUGUAGGUCAUCUUUGCUUUUUCCUCUGGACAAUAGGGUGGCUGUAGCUAGUACUAUUAUGACUGUAAAAGAAUAUUUUGAUUGCUUCUUCAUAAGGAAUAGAUAAAUACUCAAGGUGUCAUAUGUUCAAAUUACAUGAUUUGAGUAUUACACUAUAUAUGUAUGCAAGCAUUAUGUUGUAAUGUAUAUAUCUGCACAGCUGUGUCAACUAAAAAUAAAAUAAAACUGAAAGAUAAUCAAUAAAACCAGCUAAAAUGAUAGGACAACACUUUUGUAAGUUUCCAAAGAGAUCACUUAAAUGCUGAUUAUGUUUGUUUUUGUUGUUGUGUUGUUUUGUUUUUCCCUUCAAACUCUGCCCAUUUGGUUUCUUUGGCUGGAAAGGCACCAGUCUGCUGAGUGGUGGGCGAGAGUGUGUGCUUGUAGAGUGGCGAGAGGGAUCAGAGAAGAACAAGGAGUUUCUCCCUCGCUUGGGAUCUACUAUUGAGCACAUCUCCGUCUCACCUGCAGGAGAUUUGUUCUGUACUUCUCACUCUGAUAACAAGAUAACAGUUAUUCACCGAAAUCUCAACGCAUCUGCGGUUAUUCAAGGCCUAGUGAAAGAUAGGAGUAUAUCUACUGGCUUGAUGGUCGACCCAAGAACCAAAGCUCUAGUUUUGAAUGGAAAGCCUGGUCACCUGCAAUUUUAUUCUCUCCAGGGUGAUAAGCAGUUAUAUAAUGUAAGAUUUUGAUCCAUAAGUUUUAAAAUGAGUGAAA